UACGUAGGGUGCGAGCGUUAAUCGGAAUUACUGGGCGUAAAGGGUGCGCAGGCGGUUCUGCAAGUCAGGCGUGAAAUCCCCGGGCUUAACCUGGGAAUGGCGCUUGAAACUACGGGACUGGAGUAUGGCAGAGGGAGGUGGAAUUCCACGUGUAGCGGUGAAAUGCGUAGAGAUGUGGAGGAACACCGAUGGCGAAGGCAAUCCCCUGGGCCUGCACUGACGCUCAUGCACGAAAGCGUGGGGAGCAAACAGG
rnacentral:rRNA from 1 species